UCCUCCACCUCCUCCUCC
rnacentral:sRNA from 1 species